rnacentral:rRNA from 1 species
UACGUAGGGUGCAAGCGUUGUCCGGAAUUAUUGGGCGUAAAGAGCUCGUAGGCGGUCUGUUGCGUCGGCUGUGAAAACCCGGGGCUCAACUCCGGGCCUGCAGCCGAUACGGGCAGACUAGAGUUCGGCAGGGGAGACUGGAAUUCCUGGUGUAGCGGUGAAAUGCGCAGAUAUCAGGAGGAACACCGGUGGCGAAGGCGGCUUUCUGGCCAUCAACUGACGCUGAGACGCGAAAGCGUGGGGAGCAAACAGG